AGUUCCUCGGCCCGCGCCCGCCGGGAGGUGGCCGCGGCGGGAGGUCGGGGUUGUCUCUGCCCCGCGAAGGGGCGCCGGGAGCGCCGGGUACAGUCGGGCUGGCUCCGCACCCUCGAGUUCCGGGCGUCUUCGUGAGCGCGGGGGCACGGGGCAGGGGCGCCGCGGGAGUCGCGAGCGUGUCUAUCAGUUACACGCGGUACUUGAUCGCGCUGUUGCCGACGGUACUGUCUUUUCCUCUACUGCCGUGCACUCUUGAGGGAGGCGGUGGCGACAAUGGGCCAGAGGUGAUAGUUGGAACGGGGGACUUGUAAGGCGUCCAGAGCAGAGAGCUGCUUCCACCCUGAGAUGUCACAGCCCUCCCGCAUGCUCCUCCCUGCUGCCUGCCCCCGGGGUGGCCGCCGGCACCGCAGCUCGGCGCCCAAACCGGCACGUCCCAAGCCCGACGUUCCGGUGACUGCAGGGGUUUUCCCGGUGCUCGGUGUUUCCUCCCCGUCGGCCUUUAAACGCGAAUGUGACCCUACCACCAAAGUGGAGUGCAGUCCAGAAUCACCAAACCUGGGCUUCCAGGUGUCUGGAAACACAAUGUUAACAUUUGUUUUGCUCCAAAACAAAGUAUGACCGUGUCGGGUGAGUGGGGCGGGAGUGGGAGUCAGCAGCAUAAGGAUCUAGAGGGAAAAUACACUGUGCAUAAAUUUUCGAUGUCUUAUGUGAGAGAAAGGCCUGAGAAGCUGACAGGCAUUGUCACAGAAGCCACAUGAUUCUCCUUAUGUCAACAUUUUAUCCCAAAAGUACUUAAAUAUAUUGAAACAAUCAGAGGGACUACAAUCAAGAGGGCAGUUUUCUUUCUUCUCUCUUUUUCUUUCUUUUCCCCUUUCUCUCUUUCUUCUUUCUCUCUAGAAAAGGUUUUACUCUGUCAUCCAGGCUGAAGUGCAGUGACACGAUCAUAGCUCACUGCAGCCUGGAGCUGCUGGGCUCAAGUGAUUAUCCUGCGUCAGCCUCCCAAGCAGCUGGGACUACAGGCGUGUGCCACCACGCCCCACUAACUUUUAAGUUAGUUUUUGUAGAGACGAGGUCUCUUGCUGUGUUACCCAGGCUGGUCUCCUGACCUCAAGAGAUCCGCCCGCCUCGGCCCUCCAAAUCGUUGGGAUUACAGGCGUGAGACACCGCGCCCAGCCAAGAGGGCAGUUUUCAAGAAUAGAAAGAAAAAUAAACAUAAAUUAGCCCCUACUUUUGAUACAAAAUCAUCACUCUUAAUGGAUGUCCUCGGA
rnacentral:lncRNA from 1 species